GAAAGCCGUGUGCAAUGAAAAAUGCAAGCACGGGUUGGGGAGGGGUCUUUACUUGUUUAUUUAAUUUAAGAUUAACAUUUAUUUUAU
rfam:Nicotiana attenuata strain TT scaffold02241, whole genome shotgun sequence.